rnacentral:lncRNA from 1 species
CAACAUAUUUAGUAAUUAUUUAACUAGCUAGUUGCUUGACUAGUAUUUGCUAAUAUUUGCUAUCAAGAUUUUACUUUAUUGUCUGCUUCUUCCUUUUUAACUUACUAUACAUUUUUAUAUAGCGUUGUCACGGCCUUAGAACUCAAGUUAAGUAUCGUGCAGCGCUAGAAUGAAUCUGCCUGCGGAAUUGGCAGUCUAGCAAGCCUUGUUUGCCUAAAAUCGGACUAAGGGACGUUGGUCAGUGAACAAAGAAAGAAUAUAGGGAAAAUGAGCUUGUAUUGCCUUGAUGAAUGCUAUACAAUGCUUUGUGCAGAAAAUAUGUGGAUGCCUAACAAAUGCUAAGUGCUAAGCUAUUUAUACAAGUCCCUAUAUCUACAAAGGGGGCAUCAUCCGUUUGGACUAGCCGUUUAUGGCUGUUGGGGCAGUCUGGACCGUUAUUGGCAGACUGGCGGGCGCUGGAUGUUGGCGCUGGCUUGUGUUGGACAAGCUUGCGUGCGAAUUUUUGGUCGGAAUGGACGCGGAACGUGUCAUGACAUCUCUAGCUGACCCCUCAAGAGAUGAUGAUGACCAUUAUUAACCAUAUUGUAAAUGUCUAAACAUAUAAUUAUGAUAUGUAGUUAUGUAUAUGUUGAGUUGACUACUUUAUAAUUAGUUUCCUUUUUUGCCUUUUGUUGUGGGGUAGAUAAGGGUGCGAAGUGGCCCGGGCCGACCGGGUUUGGUGGGCCGGUUCUUGUGGUCCUGGUCCUUGUGAUACAUGUAGGCCCGUGACGGGCCGGUCCUAGUGCAUUAGACCAUGAGCCCGGGACCGCCAGGCCCGGGACCGUCAGUCGGGCCUGGGACGGUCCUGGCAGGCCUAAACGGGCUCAACUGCUAUUUUUCAAAAAAAAAUUAAAAAAAAUCAGUAACGGCCAUAUUUAAAAUAUAGCUGUUUGGGUUGAAAAUAUGGUCGUUUGGAAGUUUAUAAAAUGGCCAUUUGGCCCCCAAACUUUAUAUAAUUAUACUUUUUUCCCAUUUCUCAACUAUAAAUACACCCUCAUCCAUUCAUUUUUAUUCACCAAUUCAUCAAUAUCUCUCAAUCUUUAUACUACAAUUGCUUAAUUUAUUGUUGAA